rnacentral:rRNA from 1 species
GAUGAACGCUGGCGGCGUGCCUAAUACAUGCAAGUCGAGCGAACGGACGAGAAGCUUGCUUCUCUGAUGUUAGCGGCGGACGGGUGAGUAACACGUGGAUAACCUACCUAUAAGACUGGGAUAACUUCGGGAAACCAGAGCUAAUACCGGAUGAUAUUUUGAACCGCAUGGUUCAAAAGUGAAAGACGGUCUUGCUGUCACUUAUAGAUGGAUCCGCGCUGCAUUAGCUAGUUGGUAAGGUAACGGCUUACCAAGGCAACGAUGCAUAGCCGACCUGAGAGGGUGAUCGGCCACACUGGAACGGAGACACGGUCCAGACUCCUACGGGAGGCAGCAGUAGGGAAUCGUCCGCAAUGGUCGAAAGCCUGACGGAGCAACGCCGCGUGAGUGAUGAAGGUCUUCGGAUCGUAAAACUCUGUUAUUAGGGAAGAACAUAUGUGUAAGUAACUGUGCACAUCUUGACGGUACCUAAUCAGAAAGCCACGGCUAACUACGUG